ensembl:snoRNA
AGGUGCUCAGUAAAUAUCUCCUGGAUCAAAUCCAGGAGCUUUAAACACUGAACCAAAGAUGGAGUUCUCCAGUGGAUGUAAUAGUCACUGCAUGGUGCUGUGUUUUACUGAUGGAGACUGAAUC